AUGAGCGUCGGUAGUAGCUGCUGUAGCUUGAAGUUAGCUACGGAUGUUUGUAGCAGCUGCUACGAGCUCCGGUUGUAGCUGCUGUAGCUUGAAGUUAACUACGGAUGCUUGUAGCAGCUGCUAUGAGCUCCGGUUGUAGCUGCUGGAGCUUGAAGUUAACUACGGAUGCUUGUAGCAGCUGCUAUGAGCUCCGGUUGUAGCUGCUGGAGCUUGAAGUUAGCUACGGAUGCUUGUAGCAGCUGCCAAGAGCUCCGGUUGUAGCUGCUGGAGCUUGAAGUUAGCUACGGAUGCUUGUAGCAGCCGCUACGAGCGUCUGCCGUAGCGAACUUCCAGCCCAGUGCUGCCGUGGGAAAAAAUCAGCGGCACAGUACUAACGGGUGGACACUCGAGCGGAGGGGGGGAAAGAGCGUGGAGAGCACAACACUCACAAACCUAACUUCAAGCUACAGCUGCUGCUACAGCCGCUCGUUCAAGAUACCGGAGGAUGUUGUUGUCAUAAUGUGCGGGACUAGAACGAUUAUUCAUUACCAGCCCUAGUUAGGGAAAAUGUGUCCUUGUAUCUUUGUAUGCAUGACAGUAGUACAAACAUGAAUAACAUUGCUGCUUUUGGUGUUCAGGCAAGCACAUCUGUUCACGGUGCUAGGCUACAUCACGUAGCAUGCCAGACGGACCCACCAAAGAUGCGCACACAUGGAACGCAGCUUUCUAUGAAAACACUGCGACCUCACUACAAAAGUACAGGCACACAGAAAACUGUGCUGCACUGAUGUCGGUGUUGGGACCUCAGCUGUAAGAGACCUCGCUUGGAGGAGGGAGAGGACAACCCAAUUUGUUCAAGUAUGGACUUCGGAGAGCCACAGGAUGCUACCUAUGAUCCUGAUGACUCGAUCACAGUCUUGACUGAGUCAGCAGAUGUGACAUUACGUGGAUAACCUGUUGGACCUCAUCUUUCACGAGGUUUUCAGGACCCGGCCCCAUAUUUGAAUAGGUGCUGAAGAUCUCAAAACCUGAGGAUCUCUCUGCUAAGUAUGAUAAACCUGACAAGCAGGAAGUUAUAGCCAGCUAUGUGUCGAGUUUCAAUCAAGGUCAGGUCUGAUCCCUGUAUAACUUCCCUGAGCAUCAGGGAACACUCUGCGUAUCAGGAGGGCAGGACCACCCUGAUUCUCGGGCCAGGAUGGCCUCAACACCAGCUCACAAAGCUUCUGUACGCCAAAUACCUGUAACGGCUGAGCAAAGUUCACAUUGUAUUUAGAGAAUAAAAGGUGAUACACAAAUAUAACGUGUUUCUUUGUUUACAGUAUGGCUACUGAUGGCACAAAUUGUAUUUUUGUAAUCAAUGUUUUUAUUAUACUUGGUAUUUUUUGUAUUUAUUACCUCUGUCCCAGCCAGUACAUUUAAUAACUAU